CUGAAAAGCCCACAUGCAGCUCGGCAGUAGCUCUUGUCCCAGCCACCGGGAAAGCCGAGGGUUCCAGAUGAUGCAGCUCCAAGAUCCUGGAGCCUCAGUGAGCCUGGAUUCCUGAGAGAUGGGAAAUGUGUCAAAUCACUGGGAUCGAUUUGGAGUUAAUUUGUUACUGCCACACAACCAAGCCUAUCCUAACUAGUAGGCUGGGGACAACUAGCAGCCUCUGCCACAAGUCGAAUGUGUCACCGUCCAGAUAAAAGCACAAAGGGGCCAAUUAGUGUUUAUGUGAGAAGAAGCAAGUUGAGGGCUCCAGGCCCAGGGGUCUCGAAUGAAAACCUUUCUCUGACACUUUGACCAAGGGACUGAAUCAGAGAGAAGGUCAAAGGCUCAACUAGGGAAUGAAGGAAGCUCGCUCUUGUCCAGUGGAUUGAGCGCCGUCUCAGGACGGUUACAUCAGAAUCUCGGGGGACCCAGAGGGAACUCUCAUUCGAAAAGGUAAGUGCACCAAAACGCCCGCAGCCGAGCUGUCUACAGAAUCUCCAAGGGAAAGCUCAGACGUAGGUAUAAAAAAAAAAGCUCUGUAACG